rnacentral:rRNA from 1 species
UACGGAGGGUGCAAGCGUUAUCCGGAUUCACUGGGUUUAAAGGGUGCGUAGGUGGGCAGGUAAGUCAGUGGUGAAAUCUCCGGGCUUAACUCGGAAACUGCCAUUGAUACUAUCUGUCUUGAAUACCGUGGAGGUUAGCGGAAUAUGUCAUGUAGCGGUGAAAUGCUUAGAUAUGACAUAGAACACCAAUUGCGAAGGCAGCUGGCUACACGAAUAUUGACACUGAUGCACGAAAGCGUGGGGAUCAAAAAGG